UAAUGAACCGUGAGGCUUAACCUUACAACGCCAAAGCUGUUUGGUGUGGUGAAUUUGAGAGAUUUUCAGCUGAUACAGAUUAACUGACAGGCCUUAAGGCGUGUUGGUAAACAGAAUUUGCCUGGCGGCAACAGCGCGGUGGUCCCACCUGACCCCAUGCCGAACUCAGAAGUGAAACGCCGUAGCGCCGAUGGUAGUGUGGGGUCUCCCCAUGUGAGAGUAGGGAACUGCCAGGC
rnacentral:rRNA from 1 species